CUAUCUAACAUGUUCAAAGAUGUGAAAACUACUGUAGAACUUAAUAUUUCAUAUCUAAGGCAGGUAUAGAUAACUACCACCUCCCUAAUAAGUCGUCCAACACCAUCAGGAUUUUCAUCUUUGCUAAGUGCCUCCAUGACCUCUACUAAGGCCCUUACGGUAGCAAAUACUUUUUUCAUCUACAGAGAUCUUAAUUCCACCCACUUUUGAUUCUCUCUUUGGAUAUCAUCCACUUUAUGCCUUCUCUUGUAACUUUGGUAAAAUUCCCACAGGUGUUCAAUGACUGUAAUCUAUUUGGGCACCAUCCCUUUUGGCAAGUUUUUGCUUAAUUACAGACAUCAAACCAGUCUUAAAUUGGAGAACACCACGACCCUCGCUGUUUGGGUCCAAGUUUUGUGCCAUGGAAUAUGCCUGCUCACACAGUAUUCUAGCGACGAUGGCGUCCUCCUCCUGAAUCUCAUCAGCAGCCUGUAAGAUGGCAUCAAUGUUGGUUGUACGGACGAGAGAAGGUGGGACAGCGCCGGCAAUGCCGCUUGGAGUUCUCUCAUGGCCUUGGCCAGCAGUUCUUAGUUGCUCCCUGUUCAAGGUGGCACGCACCAACCUCUCCCAGUUAUCAUAAACCCUAGCCAUUAUUCCCACAACAAAUCAGAGCAAUCCAAACCCUAGAUUUACCAUUCAACAGUAAAUGUGCGGGCUAUAACUCAACCCGAGUUGGAUAUUUUCGGCUUUGUAAUAGUAAGCUAGAUCUGUAAUUCGGUUGACAGAGAAACGAAACGGAGGUUUUCAAAAUGAGGUUUAACGAAGAAAAUACUACUGAGUAUAAGAAACGCGGU
rnacentral:misc_RNA from 1 species